CUCUAUUGUGGCUGAAUAUUCUUAAAUAAGGGAAGUAAUGUGUGAACAAAAUCAAUCAAUAUAGUGAGAUAUUGUCCGGUGACAUUGGCUAAUCGUGCGGCGUGCGUUGUGCUAUCGUGUUAUCACCGUAGUGAGGCCGGGCCAGAUGCGCGUGUGUGCGCUCCGGCCGCGUAUCGGCUGCAUUCCUCACUAUUAUGUCCGCGAGAUUCCUCGCCCUGCCUCGCCGAAUGCCUCACUCCUCGACCGGCCAAAUUUUUUGCGCGCUCCGUUCGCAAAUCGAACCGACCUUAAACGUUGUACAAAAACUUCAUAAAGUUACAAAAACCGGCGAAGAACACGAAAAUCAAUAAGAAACGUAUCGCGGUAUGUAUAAUCAGUCGUUGUGUUCUAACCACUGGCUAAUAAAACGUCCGACGCAAAAUAAUAUACUGACUCCUACCGUCUAGAAUCCAUUGUUUGACAAGUACACCGUUUUAGUAUUUGUUAUUAUUUUAUAAAAUCCAACUAUCGCGCCACGACUCUGUUGACGAAA